rnacentral:ncRNA from 1 species
CCCCCUGAAUUUAAGCAUAUUAAUUAGAGGAGGAAAAGAAAAUAAAAAGGCUUUUUUUAAAAGCGGCGAGCGAAAAGAAAACAGUUCAGCACUAAGUCACUUUGUCUAUGUGGCAUCAUUAAAUUCAUCAUUAAAAUUGUAAUAUUUAAAUAAUAUUAUGAGAAUAGUGUGCAUUUUUUCCAUAUAAGGACAUUGUAAUCUAUUAGCAUAUACCAAAUUUAUCAUAAAAUAUAACUUAUAGUUUAUUCCAAUUAAAUUGCUUGCAUUUUAACACAGAAUAAAUGUUAUUAAUUUGAUGAAGUGCUGAUAGAUUUAUAUGAUUACAGUGCGUUAUUUUUUCGGAAUUACAUAAUGGCAUAAUUAUCAUUGAUUUUUGUGUUUGUAUGAUUAACAAUGCGAAAGAUUCAGGAUACCUUCGGGACCCGUCUUGAAACACGUACCAAGGAGUCUAACAUAUGUGCAAGUUAUUGGGAUAUGAACCUAAUAGCGUAAUUAACUUGACUAAUAAUGGGAUUAGUUUUUUACCGAUUUAUAGCUAAUUAACACAAUCCCGGGGCGUUCUAUAUAGUUAUGUAUAAUGUAUAUUUAUAUUAUUUACGCCUCUAACUGGAACGUACCUUGAGCAUAUAUGCUGUGACCCGAAAGAUGGUGAACUAUACUUGAUCAGGUUGAAGUCAGGGGAAACCCUGAUGAAAGACCGAAACAGUUCUGACGUGCAAAUCGAUUGUCAGAAUUGAGUAUAGGGGCGAAAGACCAAUCGAACCAUCUAGGAGCUGGUUCCUUCCGAAGUUUCCCUCAGGAUAGCUGGUGCAUUUUAAUAUUAUAUAAAAUAAUCUUAUCUGGUAAAGCGAAUGAUUAGAGGCCUUAGGGUCGAAACGAUCUUAACCUCUUCUCAAACUUUAAAUGGGUAAGAACCUUAACUUUCUUGAUAUGAAGUUCAAGGUUAUGAUAUAAUGUGCCCAGUGGGCCUAUUUUGGUAAGCAGAACUGGCGCUGUGGGAUGAACCAAACGUAAUGUUACGGUGCCCAAAUUAACAACUCAUGCAGAUACCAUGAAAGGCGUUGGUUGCUUAAAACAGCAGGACGGUGAUCAUGGGAGUCGAAAUCCGCUAAGGAGUGUGUAACAACUCACCUGCCGAAGCAUUUAGCCCUUAAAAUGGAUGGCGCUUAAGUUGUAUACCUAUACAUUACCGCUAAAGUAGAUGAUUUAUAUUACUUGUGUUAUAAAUUUUGAAACUUUAGUGAGUAGGAAGGUACAAUGGUAUGCGUAGAAGUGUUUGGCGUAAGCCUACAUGGAGCUGCCAUUGGUACAGAUCUUGGUGGUGGUAGCAAAUAAUCGAAUGAGAUCUUGGAGGACUGAAGUAGAGAAGGGUGUCGUGUGAACAGUGGUUGAUAACGAGUUAGUCAGUUCAAGGCGAAAGCCGAAAAUCUUCAAGUGAAACAAAAAUGCCUAACUAUAUAAACAAAGCGAAUUAUAAUACACUUGAAUAAUUUUGAACGAAAGGGAAUACGGUUCCAAUUCCGUAACCUGUUGAGUAUCCGUUUGUUAUUAAAUAUGGGCCUCGUGCUCAUCCUGGCAACAGGAACCACCAUAAAGAAGCCGUCGAGAGAUAUCGGAAGAGUUUUCUUUUCUGUUUUAUAGACGUACUACCAUGGAAGUCUUUCGCAGAGAGAUAUGGUAGAUGGGCUAGAAGAGCAUGACAUAUACUGUUGUGUCGAUAUAUUCUCCUCGGACCUUGAAAACUUAUGGUGGGGACACGCAAACUUCUCAACAGGCCGUACCAAUAUCCGCAGCUGGUCUCCAAGGUGAAGAGUCUCUAGUC